GUCGAGAAUCUUUUGCAAUGCCCGCAAGGGUGACAAUGCGACGCCGCGUGUGCGAUGAAGGCCUUCGGGUCGUAAAGCACUGUCGGCCGGGAUGAAUCUCAAGGCUCUUAACAAGGGCUCUGGGUGACAGUACCGGCAGAGGAAGCCACGGCUAACUCCGUGCCAGCAGCCGCGGUAAUACGGAGGUGGCAGGCGUUACUCGGAUUGAUUGGGUGUAAAGGGUGCGUAGGCGGUAAUGUAAGUCGAAUGUGAAAUCCCAUGGCUUAACCAUGGAACUGCAUUCGAUACUGCUUUGCUUGAGUGAUAGAGAGGUAGAUGGAAUUCCCGGUGUAACAGUGAAAUGUGUAGAUAUCGGGAGGAACACCAGUGGCGAAGGCGAUCUACUGGCUAUCCACUGACGCUGAAGCACGAGAGCAUGGGGAGCAAACAGGAUUAGAAACCCUGGUAGUCC
rnacentral:rRNA from 1 species